UACAGAGGGUGCGAGCGUUAAUCGGAAUUACUGGGCGUAAAGCGUGCGUAGACGGUUAUGUAAGUCAGAUGUGAAAGCCCCGGGCUCAGCCUGGGAAUUGCAUUUGAGACUGUGUAGCUAGGGUGCGGAAGAGGGAAGCGGAAUUUCCGGUGUAGCGGUGAAAUGCGUAGAUAUCGGAAGGAACACCAGUGGCGAAAGCGGCUUCCUGGUCCAGCACCGACGUUCAGGCACGAAAGCGUGGGGAGCAAACAGG
rnacentral:rRNA from 1 species